GGAUUAGAUACCCUGGUAGUCCACGCCGUAAACGAUGAGAACUAGAUGUCGGGAGGAUCUGCCUUUCGGUGUCGCAGCUAACGCGUUAAGUUCUCCGCCUGGGGAGUACGCCGGCAACGGUAAAACUCAAAGGAAUUGACGGGGACCCGCACAAGCGGUGGAGCAUGUGGUUUAAUUCGAUGCAACGCGAAGAACCUUACCAGCCCUUGACAUCCUCGGAACUUACCAGAGAUGGUUUGGUGCCUUCGGGAACCGAGUGACAGGUGCUGCAUGGCUGUCGUCAGCUCGUGUUG
rnacentral:rRNA from 1 species